GACGAACGCUGGCGGCGUGCCUAACACAUGCAAGUCGAGCGGAAAUAAUUGAAAGCUUGCUUUUGGUUAUUUUAGCGGCGGACGGGUGAGUAACGCGUGGGCAACCUGCCUGUUACAGGGGGAUAACACAGGGAAACUUGUGCUAAUACCGCAUAACACAGCGAGGUAGCAUUACCUUGUUGUCAAAGGAGAAAUCCGGUGACAGAUGGGCCCGCGUCCAAUUAGCUAGUUGGUGAUGUAACGGACCACCAAGGCGACGAUUGGUAGCCGAACUGAGAGGUUGAUCGGCCACAUUGGGACUGAGACACGGCCCAGACUCCUACGGGAGGCAGCAGUGGGGAAUAUUGCACAAUGGGGGAAACCCUGAUGCAGCAACGCCGCGUGAAGGAUGAAGGUUUUCGGAUUGUAAACUUCUUUAGUCAGGGACGAAAAAAAUGACGGUACCUGAAGAAUAAGCCACGGCUAACUACGUGCCAGCCGCCGCAGUAA
rnacentral:rRNA from 1 species